ACUCUCCUCAGUCAUGUUGCCUUCAAGAAACGUAGGCACUGCGAGAAGUGAUUGGCAGUAAACUAAACUAAGUUCCCUUUAAAAAGCUGUUUUGGACAAUACGUGGGACCAAUUACACUAUACGAGUAAUAAAUUGUGCCAGCUUGUGCAGUUCAGCAGCUACACUUUAAGAAUGGACUUCUCCCACUUACACAUGCGACCAUGCUGUAUUCACUCGCCAUGGCGUCCGCAGCGCCAAGGCAACCCGCUGGCGCCAGUGCACAGAGACAACCCCAACCCCAUCUGAAGAGUCUGAACUUGCUCAAGCAGGGCUUGGAAAAAGACAUCUCACCAUGUCCAGGGAAAUGAGCCACGAGGAGGUGGUCAGGGUAAAAGGAGACUGAUAAUGAUUCCUCCUGACUCUGAUGGAUACACCGGAACCCUUCUUCGCAGUGUCACAGGGGCAGGGAAGAACACCCUGUAUAUUGUGCCUUUGCAGCAUGAGUUUGACCUAACUCCACUACCUCCAGAUGCCAUUGAAUUCCGAAGUAUGCCAAAAGCACAAUGUCAAACUUGCAAAGUCAGUUUUCUUUUGCACAUUUUGGCCCUUCAUGUUCAGGAGUGCAUGGAGUCUCAGUCAGCAGGAGAGGAUAUUGAGAAAGUUCCAUGUCCCAUCUGUUUCUUGAAAUUUACACCACAGUUUGUAGAGAUCCAUGCUAGCUUGUGUGGAGAAAG